GUAGCAGAUAGGCUGCCCCUCUGCUCACUUUUCUGUUUCACAGACACAAGGCCUUUUUGUCCCAAGAAAGCCUCCUGGCUUAGCUGUGUGACUAAAUGCUAUUUGCCCUCUUCAGUGGACCUCUAUUCUCAAGAUUCCCUUGUUUUCUCACCAUCCCAUUUGAGAUGCUUGAUAGUAACUGUUACAGGUCUUCUUUACCACCGAGGAAAGACGGAAUCCUACUAGAGGCCAGAAAAAGUGUUCCAGAGAUGGAUGGAAGGCCCUCACUUCUGCCUGCUCUCUUCAGACGCCUGAAGACGGGAACAGUUCUCUUCAUGAAUGAAGGUCAGAGACAAGUGGGUGCUGCCAUGGUGGACAACACAGUGUCAUCUAGAAUGGCUGAACCCCAACCCCCAGCACAUCAGCACCACAGAUGCCUUUGCCAUCUCUUAGAUGCCCUGAUGAAGCCAACAACUGUGAGUACUAUUCAUUGCUCAGGAUAUCAGGAGGAAAGAGAUUCAGUGACAUGGGACAGUAACAAAACAGAUAAAGUGGCUCAGGAAAUGGCUAUGCAGGAGCCUAUCCUGGUUACAGACCUGCAAGAGACAGCCACUGAGAACUAGGAUCGGACUAAGGGAUGGCCUCACUUAGAAAAGCCCCAAAUUGCUUAAAAGAUAAAGGACAAUGACACACUUGAGGGGAAGCUAUACUCCCCAGAGAACAAAGAAAAGACUCACUUUGCCAAAUAAAAAAAUAGACUCAUUUAAGAGAUAAAAAAUUUGUCCAAAUAGUUAAGUGUAUAUAAUAGACUUUAAGAUUUUAGCCAGAGAGACAGUAAAAAGUAUAAAAUACGUCAAUAAAUAAAUGCUUAACAAACAAACAGGACAAAGAGACCUAGAGAGUUUAACGAAAAGUCGAAGUGAACUUCACUGAGAUAAAACCAGAAAAAUAUAAUCUCCUAGUGCUUGUAGAUACUUUUUCAGAAAUAGACAGAAGCUUUCCUCACCAAACGAGAGACGGCCUCUGCAAUCAUCAAGAAGAUACUGAAAGAAAUCUUCCCCAGGUCUGGAAUGCCCAAGGUAAUCUGGUCAGACAACGGCCCUACUUUCGUUGCCAAGGUAAGCCAGGGUGUGGCCAAGUAUUUAGAGGUCAAUUAAAAAUUACAUUAUAUUUACAGACCUCAAAGUUCAGGACAGGUAGAGUAAAUAAAUAAAAUUUUAAAAGAGAUCCUGAACAGAUUGACCAUAGAGACUGGCACAGACUGGGUGACACUCCUUCCCUCUUGCUCUCUUCAGAGCAAGAAAUACCCCUUCCAGAUUCAGCCUUAUCCCCUUUGAGAUCUUAUAUGGGGC
ensembl:lncRNA